rnacentral:lncRNA from 1 species
AAAAAAAAUAUAAAACAUAAAUAUUAUUUGAAAAAACCACUUAACCUAACAUAAUAAGUAUUUGUAACUUUAUAAAUCUUUUUAUAUAAAAGUCUUCUAAUAUUACUUUAAUGGUUAUAAAAUUAUAGUAAUAAAUUAAUCGUUUAUAAAAGAAACAAAAAAAAUUAAAAAUAAUACUCCUCAUAUUAUCCAAGUUGUUUCACCUGCUCAUUUUGCUUACGUAUAGUACAAAUCGUAAAGAAAAGUCUACAAUGCUUACCAGGCCUCCGGUGACGAAGCUGAGAAAGAUGCAUGCGACGGUGGAGCCAAGAAGUUGAGCGAUCCAGUAAAACACGCCGGUAAGGACGGUGAUCUGGCCGCCGACGGCCAAACCGAAGGUGACAGCUGGGUUGACGUGGCCGCCGGAGAUGUUGGCAGCGAUUGAUACGGCAACAAACAGAGCAAAUCCAUGGCAAACAGCGAUGGCUACAAGACCAGCUGGAUCUAGGGCAGCAUCUGCUGUUAAUUUGCCUGUAUUAAAUUAACAAAAAAAGGAAUUGGGUUAUGGAGAUAUAUCAUGAUAGAUCGGUUAGUAAUGGUUAUGGGGAGUUCUGAACUUACCAUAAGCGAUGGCAGAACCUACUCCGGCGAAGACGAAGAGCAAGGUGGAGAUGAACUCUGCAAUGUAGGCUUUGAUAGAGCUGCCACUGAAGGAGUCACCCAAACUACCAAUGGCGAUUCCAGGCAUUUUGUGUAGAGUAUUGUAUUAAUGGAUAAGGAAUAGCUGAAUUUGGAAAGGAGAUGGAAAUAGAAAGAGAGG